UACAAGCAAGGAAGGUCUGGCCUAGAGUACUUGUAUCACAAGAGCCAGUGUUUGCAGCUUCCCACCUGCAUACAGCACACCAGGAUCCAGAAAUAAGGCAUUCUGCAAAAUUCCUGUUGAAAUCAAUGAGCUAUCCUACAAGCACACUCUGGGCUCUGAAUUACCACCUAAUGAAUUUACACAUUAUCACCUGUCUUUGUUUGAAAUCUGCUAACGGAAAUUUGCUCUGUGUACUGCAUGCAGGAUGAAAGUGUGUUAGCAGCAAUAAUCCCCAUCCUGCAGGCUCUGCAACAGGAAAUAUGGGAAGUUUUUGGAUCAAGGCUGCAGAAGUCUAUGAAGAAAACUUGAACAUGAGACACACAAGUAAUGCUAACAUAUCUGAACUCUGAAGAAUGCCCAAUGAGAAGAUUAAGGUGCGAUUCAGAGAGAGCAGUUCACAUAGAACAAAGUUGUUAUGGCUCCUUUAUAAUUGUUCAGCCUUACUAUUUCAUUUGCAAGCAGACGUAAUCACUGUAACAUCCUGCUGGGCUGUUUUAAAGUUAUAGGUGUGCCCAGUUGUAGCUCCUGCAUGCCCC
rnacentral:lncRNA from 1 species